AAGUAAAAAAAGAAUUUGCUUAUUGACUAGCGUUUAUUUUUAGAAAUGUCAAAUUACUAAUCCUUCAACUUUUAAAAAAAAAAUCUUAAUUCUUUUAACUUUAAAAUAGGCUUUCUUAACCAAAAUCUUGUACUUGUUAAGGCGAUUUCCGGCUAUCUCCAGCAGCUUCUCCGGCGACCUUCAAAUAUUUGUUCUUCUCAUCCAUCCUUCACCAAUCUUGUCACUUUGAGGGGUGAGGGACUUCCCGACCGACGUUCUCCACGCCAACUAUGCUUUCAGCCUUGCAGAUCUGGGCUAUCCUUCUUCUUCGGCGUUGACUUUCGCUUUCCCUUCCCGUCUUUCGCCUGUAUGAUACUGCACUAGAUCUGGUGACUUACAACAAAGUGAAGGCGAUUUCCAAUGGGAAACUAGCAUUUUUCCAACAUAUUUUUUGACAGUGCUGUUCCAUCCCAGAAGGGACUAUCGCUUCGCCACAGCACUGGUCAACCCGGAGGUCAGCCUUAGUCCAGCCUAACAACUAUUACUUUUGAUCACCCUACUGUGUCCGGGCAGUUUAAUGAAGUUACCCAUUUUUGUGAAGUUCUUUUCCUUAUCUAUAGCGUUGAUCGCUGGCUUUUGUUCAUUAUAGCAAA